rnacentral:rRNA from 1 species
CGAUGAACCACAUUCGGUGGGGAUUAGUGGCGAACGGGUGAGUAACACGUGGGCAAUCUGCCCUGCACUCUGGGACAAGCCCUGGAAACGGGGUCUAAUACCGGAUACUGAUCACUGCAGGCAUCUGUGGUGUUCGAAAGCUCCGGCGGUGCAGGAUGAGCCCGCGGCCUAUCAGCUUGUUGGUGAGGUAAUGGCUCACCAAGGCGACGACGGGUAGCCGGCCUGAGAGGGCGACCGGCCACACUGGGACUGAGACACGGCCCAGACUCCUACGGGAGGCAGCAGUGGGGAAUAUUGCACAAUGGGCGCAAGCCUGAUGCAGCGACGCCGCGUGAGGGAUGACGGCCUUCGGGUUGUAAACCUCUUUCAGCAGGGAAGAAGCGAAAGUGACGGUACCUGCAGAAGAAGCGCCGGCUAACUACGUGCCAGCAGCCGCGGUAAUACGUAGGGCGCGAGCGUUGUCCGGAAUUAUUGGGCGUAAAGAGCUCGUAGGCGGCUUGUCACGUCGGUUGUGAAAGCCCGGGGCUUAACCCCGGGUCUGCAGUCGAUACGGGCAGGCUAGAGUUCGGUAGGGGAGAUCGGAAUUCCUGGUGUAGCGGUGAAAUGCGCAGAUAUCAGGAGGAACACCGGUGGCGAAGGCGGAUCUCUGGGCCGAUACUGACGCUGAGGAGCGAAAGCGUGGGGAGCGAACAGGAUUAGAUACCCUGGUAGUCCACGCCGUAAACGGUGGGCACUAGGUGUGGGCAACAUUCCACGUUGUCCGUGCCGCAGCUAACGCAUUAAGUGCCCCGCCUGGGGAGUAC